CAGGACCAGUGUUCUGUCUACUUCACCACCUAGCCUCCCUUCUUCACUUCCUUCUCCUCCUCUGGGACCAGAGGACAGCAGCUAUGACCAGGAGAUGUGGGGCAUUGCUCUGGGCCCUUUCUGCAAGGCCACCACCAUAGGCUGGUAGAGACCCAACACCAUGAGAGAAACAGAUGAUGGAAUGAGCUGUUUCGGGAGGCGGUAUCUGCCCCCUCCUUGGAUUUCUCAGAGGCUGGAAGACCCCUUGUCAGGUAUUGUCACAGGAGACAAUUGAACAUGAUGGCCACUGAUGUCCCUUCCAACUCUCAAAUUCUGCAAUUCUGUGAAGGAGCAGAAACAGCUUUAGCUGCAUCCAGUCUGCUUUUUAGAGGGUGCUAGUGGCUUUCUUUUGGUCUGGACCUGCCUCUGAACACAGGCUUAGCUGGCUUCCUUCCUGACCUACCCCCUCAACCCUUGUCUGCUCCCCCUCCCCACCAUGUCUCUUAGCAUUUCCAUGUGAAAAGGGUGGUGACCUUGGGUGCUUCUUCCAGUCUUUGGCUUCUGACCCUUGACCCCCUACACCACCACCUUCAGUAGGGCCUCUCCAGAGGGGAUGGAUGGAUGGAUAGACUGUGCUUAUGGGUCACUGACCUGGGGAAGCAGGGCCACUGAGGACAAAGGGGGUGGGAGGGACUGGAGGGCACAGCCCCCCCAUGGAGGCCAGGCUCCCUUCCCUUCUUGCUCUCCUCUCCAGGGCAUUCAGCAAGCACUGGGGGGAGGGGAUGGAGAGAGGGAGGACAGGCUCUGAUCCCCAUUCCCCGCACAUUGCCUUGGAUAUCCCCUCUACUGGCUGUAAGCACUGCCCCCACCCCACUUGCUAAAACAGAUCCUGAGGCUUCCCUCAAUACAUUUAACCCAUAAAUUCCCCCUCCUGCUUUUGGAUGGAUGGUUUCUACCCCUCUAGGUGGCCUGGGGCGGCUUCUGUAAGAUUUCUCUAGUGGGGUGGUUUGGAAUGAGAAGGAUCAGGCUAUGUGUGAUUGGACUCUGGCACCCCCUAGGGGUGGCCCCAUUUUGACAUCUUAAAAUUCGAAAACAGUAGAAAUCUUAGAAUGUAGCCUUGAGGAAUCUUGGAAUUCACAGAAGUGCAGAUAUCCUUGCUGGUCUCCAUCCUGCCUGCCUCCUUCAGGACCUAGCUACAGCAGUCUUUCUUUAUUUUUUCAUGGAGCUUCAACCUCUUCCUCUCCAUUGGCUACCUUCUCUACUUUCUUUGAAUGUGAUCCCUCAUUCUAAAAAACCUUUGCUUUCCCUUGUUCUUUCUACUCCAUUCAGAUAGCUACCUUCCCAUCUCUCUCCUCUCCUUUACUACUAAAUUUCUUUUAAAGGGUCAACUGAAUGUAUGCAGAAGAUUAGCAUUUGGUAAACCUAUUAAAAUUAAGAAAAGAAAAACCUGGGGAAAGGAUUCAUUAAUUAUGUCCUUGGUGAAAACUAAGUAGCAAUUUGGGGGGAAAUGAGUUUAAACUUUUAUUUCCCACAAUAUAUUUCAGCAAAUUAUAGUUUAAAUACUUUUUUAAGAACUACCAAAAAAUGGAAGAAAAUUAAUUGUGGAGGGGAGAUAACUUUAUUCUAUUAAACUAUUAGAAGGAAUUGUUAAGGUUAAGAUAUAUGCUCUUGAUGACAUUAGACUUUUUAAUAUUUAGAACAAAAAACAAUAUAAUAGCUAGGAGAAUUGGUAGGUACCUACGAUCUCUGCUACAGCAGGAGACUAGGGCUGGUCACUUCAGUUAGGGAGUUCUGAGCUGUAGUAGGACCACAGCCAAUCAUGUGUCUGCACUAAGUCCAGCACCAGUAUGGCCACUACCACCUCCCAACCCCCAACAGAAAUCCACCAGAUUUCCUAAGGAGAGGCAACCUGGCCCAGGUCAGAAAAAGAGCCGAUUAAAGCUUCCAUUCCAUGCCAAUCAAGAUUGGCAUUUCCAAUGUAGCCAGGUAGGGGAGACCUCCUCUUGAAAAAGUCUUAUCUAUCUAGCUAUCUAUCUAUAUGAGUUGCUUUUUUAAAACUCUGAA